GCAGAAAGGAGCCACAGCUAAAGCCGGCUUGCCUGGCACCCUGAUUUCCAGCCAGAGUUGAUGAGGACUGCGUGGCAGGUGAAUACACUUUGGCUUUGAGUACCAAGUGUCCUGUUCACAAUCAGAGAACCAGAGCAAUUUCGCCCUGUAUGAACACACUUCUCCAGAGCGUUGAUACGCAUCCUACUCCCAAUGAUGGACUGAAAGAAAUUUAAAGCAGAAGCAAUAGCAAAAAAAGCCAAGAUGAGCUAAAGAAGCAAACUAUUAAAGGCUUAAUAUAGUUAAUAUUAAGCUUAAUAUGCUUACUGAUCAUAAGUAAAUAAAUGUUCAAGCAGUAACAGAAAAUGGAAAGAAAUGAGACCAGGAAGAAGUAAAAAAGAACAAGAAAAAAAGUGGAGCCAAGAGAGGUGAUCUGGAAAGCCUACAGACAUCAGAAGGAGU